AAAAAUAUGGGCAUAAUUACAUGUGGGAACUUUUGAUAGCAAUAAAAGAAAAACUGUUACAAAUUUAACACAAAUCAUCCUCCAAAUCAUUAGCUCAUUUGAAAUAAAGAUGCAUUGCUACCGACUUUCAUUGAUUUUAAUUCUUCGAAUUUCUCGUUGUCAGACAACUUGAGAUUUUAAAUUUGUUAAGGUUGUCGGGAAGAACAUUUGUCAAACUCCUUCUGCCCUUAUGAUAGGGAAAAUGAUUCCUUAUGCAACCGAGAUCAGUCUAGCCCCAAUCCAUAUGCAUGGAACUCAAGGAAAUGGAACUAUCAAGUGGCUAACACCAUAGACAGCCACAGCGAAGAAGUGGAGAACCAAAUUCAAUGGGCGAGAAUUUAGACAGACAAGCAAUAGGUCCAUUCGAAAAUACACCUCCAAGGCUCAAAUAGUCAAAA
rnacentral:misc_RNA from 1 species